GUAAGUUUAUGUUGUUUUCAUAUUUUUUAAGAGGGACCCUUUUUGGUUUUUAUUAGGUAAUGAAAGAUUCAUUAUUGAAAAUCGGAUCUCAUUGUUUCAAUUUUGUUUAUUUAAUGCGUAGGUUAUACAUAAUUUUGUUUCGAAAUGUCCCAUAGGUUUGAAGUUGUUGGGGAGGGGCAAAGCACCCCACGUAAUACCCUAUCGUAAACAAUUUUAGCACUCCUAAGUAUUAGAU